UCCUUGCACUUGGAAUGAGACCCACUUG
rnacentral:piRNA from 1 species